rnacentral:rRNA from 1 species
UACGGAGGGUGCGAGCGUUACCCGGAUUUACUGGGCGUAAAGGGCGUGUAGGCGGUUUUUUAAGUCCGGGGCUAAAGGCCAGGGCUCAACCCUGGGUUUGCCUUGGAUACUGGAAAGCUCGGCGGCUGGCGGGGGCAGCGGAAUCUCCGGAGUAGCGGUGAAAUGCGCAGAUACCGGAAGGAAAGCCAAUAGCGAAGGCAGCUGCCUGGACAGUACGGGACGCUGAGGCGCGAAAGCGUGGGGAGCAAAUCGG